GGUAGCGUGGCCGAGCGGUCUAAGGCGCUGGUUUAAGGCACCAGUCUCUCCGGAGGCAUGGGUUCGAAUCCCAUCGCUGCCA
rnacentral:tRNA from 1 species